rnacentral:rRNA from 1 species
AACAAACGCUGGCGGCGUGCCUAACACAUGCAAGUCGUACGAGAAAGGGUCCUUCGGGGCCUGAGUAAAGUGGCGCACGGGUGAGUAACGCGUGGAUAAUCUGCCCUUCAGUUGGGAAUAACCCAUCGAAAGGUGGGCUAAUACCGAAUAAUGCUGUGAGACCUCGGUUGAUCAGCCAAAGAGAGCCUCUGCUUGCAAGCCCUCGCUGAAGGAUGAGUCCGCGUACCAUUAGCUAGUUGGUAGGGUAAUGGCCUACCAAGGCGACGAUGGUUAGCUGGUCUGAGAGGAUGAUCAGCCACACUGGAACUGAGACACGGUCCAGACUCCGACGGGAGGCAGCAGUGAGGAAUCUUGCGCAAUGGGGGCAACCCUGACGCAGCAACGCCGCGUGAGUGAGGAAGGUCUUCGGAUCGUAAAGCUCUGUCGGAUGGAAAGAACCGCAUAGGGGUAAACAGCCCCUGUGUCUGACGGUACCAUCAAAGGAAGCACCGGCUAACUCCGUGCCAGCCGCCGCGGUAACAC